rnacentral:rRNA from 1 species
UAGGGAAUAUUGGGCAAUGGAGGCAACUCUGACCCAGCCAUGCCGCGUGCAGGAAGACGGUCCUCUGGAUUGUAAACUGCUUUUGAAUGGGAAGAAUGUGAUGCUUGCGAGCGUUAAUGACGGUACCAUUAGAAUAAGCCACGGCUAACUACGUGCCAGCAGCCGCGGUAAUACGUAGGUGGCGAGCGUUAUCCGGAUUUAUUGGGUUUAAAGGGUGCGUAGGCGGCUUAAUAAGUCGGUGGUUAAAAGUAGCAGCUUAACUGUUUUACAUGCCAUCGAUACUGUUGAGCUUGAGAUAUUUGGAGGCAGCUAGAAUUUCCGGUGUAGCGGUGAAAUGCAUAGAUACCGGAAGGAAUACCAAUUGCGAAGGCAGGUUGCUACGAAUAAACUGACGCUGAUGCACGAAAGCGUGGGGAUCAAACAGG